UGAUAAGGAAGUUGCCAAAGAGGCAGAGAUCUUGUAAGUUUGUGAUCUCGGAUUCAAACCUCUUUCAGGCUGGUUUAGUGCAAGUGCGGGCGUCUAGUUCAUCUGCUCCGAGAGUGUCUACCUCGGUCUCGUCCAGGUCAGGUGAAGGUUAAGCCUUUGUUAUUAUUAUUAAUACAUAUGAUAAUGAUAUUAUAUCUUUCUUCCCAUUUCAGCACGUCAAUCCGAGAUGCUAGGCUACAAAGCGGCUAAGG
rnacentral:lncRNA from 1 species